GACGAACGCUGGCGGCGUGCCUAAUACAUGCAAGUAGAACGCUGAAGAGAGGAGCUUGCUCUUCUUGGAUGAGUUGCGAACGGGUGAGUAACGCGUAGGUAACCUGCCUUGUAGCGGGGGAUAACUAUUGGAAACGAUAGCUAAUACCGCAUAACAAUGGAUGACACAUGUCAUUUAUUUGAAAGGGGCAAUUGCUCCACUACAAGAUGGACCUGCGUUGUCUUAGCUAGUAGGUGAGGUAAUGGCUCACCUAGGCGACGAUACAUAGCCGACCUGAGAGGGUGAUCGGCCACACUGGGACUGAGACACGGCCCAGACUCCUACGGGAGGCAGCAGUAGGGAAUCUUCGGCAAUGGGGGCAACCCUGACCGAGCAACGCCGCGUGAGUGAAGAAGGUUUUCGGAUCGUAAAGCUCUGUUGUAAGUCAAGAACGGGUGUGAGAGUGGAAAGUUCACACUGUGACGGUAGCUUACCAGAAAGGGACGGCUAACUACGUG
rnacentral:rRNA from 1 species